rnacentral:rRNA from 1 species
UCUGGUUGAUCCUGCCGGACCCGACUGCUAUCAGAGUGGGACUAAGCCAUGCGAGUCAACGUAGCAAUGCGUGGCGAACGGCUCAGUAACACGUAGUCAACAUGCCCAGGGGACGUGGAUAACCUCGGGAAACUGAGAUUAAACCGCGAUAGGUCAAGAUUUCUGGAAUGGAUCGUGUCUUAAAUCUACAUGGCCCCUGGAUUGGACUGCGGCCGAUCAGGCUGUUGGUGAGGUAAUGGCCCACCAAACCUAUAACCGGUACGGGCUCUGAGAGGAGAAGCCCGGAGAUGGGCACUGAGACAAGGGCCCAGGCCCUAUGGGGCGCAGCAGGCGCGAAACCUCUGCAAUGGGCGAAAGCCUGACAGGGUUACUCUGAGUGAUUUCCGCUAAGGAGAUCUUUUGGCAGCUCUAAAAAUGGUGCAGAAUAAGGGGUGGGCAAGUCUGGUGUCAGCCGCCGCGGUAAUACCAGCACCCCGAGUGGUCGGGACGAUUAUUGGGCCUAAAGCAUCCGUAGCCGGUUGUGCAAGUCCUCCGUUAAAUCCAGCCGCUCAACGGAUGGGCUGCGGAGGAUACUACAGGACUAGGAGGCGGGAGAGGCAAGCGGUACUUAGUGGGUAGGGGUAAAAUCCUUUGAUCCAUUGAAGACCACCAGUGGCGAAGGCGGCUUGCCAGAACGCGCUCGACGGUGAGGGAUGAAAGCUGGGGGAGCAAACCGGAUUAGAUACCCGGGUAGUCCCAGCUGUAAACGAUGCAGACUCGGUGAUGGGCUAGCCUCGUGUCAGCCCAGUGCCGCAGGGAAGCCGUUAAGUCUGCCGCCUGGGGAGUACGGUCGCAAGACUGAAACUUAAAGGAAUUGGCGGGGGAGCACCACAAGGGGUGAAGCCUGCAGUUUCAUUGGACUNCACGCCGGGGACUCUAGAGA